UCUUCUUCUCCCUUCGUUUCCC
rnacentral:miRNA from 1 species